GACCAUGUAGCGCAGUGGUUGACGCGCCCUCCUGCGUGGAGGGAGGACGCCGGUUCGAGUCCGGCCUGGUCC
rnacentral:tRNA from 1 species